AGAACGAACGCUGGCGGCAUGCCUAAUACAUGCAAGUCGAACGAACUCUUCGGAGUUAGUGGCGCACGGGUGCGUAACGCGUGGGAAUCUGCCCCUUGGUUCGGAAUAACAGUUGGAAACGACUGCUAAUACCGGAUGAUGACGAAAGUCCAAAGAUUUAUCGCCAAGGGAUGAGCCCGCGUAGGAUUAGCUAGUUGGUGAGGUAAAGGCUCACCAAGGCAACGAUCCUUAGCUGGUCUGAGAGGAUGAUCAGCCACACUGGGACUGAGACACGGCCCAGACUCCUACGGGAGGCAGCAGUAGGGAAUAUGGACAAUGGGCGAAAGCCUGAUCCAGCAAUGCCGCGUGAGUGAUGAA
rnacentral:rRNA from 1 species